rnacentral:rRNA from 1 species
AAAGUCCGACCUGCCCUAUGAUAAAAUUUUAUUAAAUGGCCGCGAUAUUUUGAUCGUGCAAAGGUAGCAUAAUAAUUAGUUUUUUAAUUAAGAACUGGUAUGAAAGGUUAAACGAAAAAAAAACUGUCUCAAUUUAAAUUAAAUUAGAAUUUUAUAUUUAAGUAAAAAAGCUUAAAUAUUUUUAAAAGACGAGAAGACCCUAUAGAGUUUUAUAUUUAUUGAUUUAUUUUUUAGUUUAAGAAUUUAAUUUUAAAAUAUUUUAAUAGUUAUUUGGUUGGGGUGAUUAAAAAAUUAAAUAAACUUUUUUUAUAUUAAAAACAUUGAUUUAUGAAAAAAUGAUCCA